GAGAUGGAGUUUUGCUCGUUGCCCAGGCUGGAGUGUAAUGGUGCGAUCUCAGCUCACUGCAACCUCUGCCUCCUGGGUUCAAGCAGUUCUCCUGCCUCAGCCUCCCAAGUAGCUGGGAUUAUAGGCAUGAACCACCACACCUGGCUAAUUUUUAUUUUAUUUUAUUUAUUUAUUUUUUGAGAUGGAGUCUCAGUCUGUUACCAGGGCUGGAGUCCAGUGGUGUGAUCUCCGCUCACUGCAACCUCCACCUCCCAUGUUCAAGCGAGUCUUCUGCCUCAGCCUCCCAAGUAGCUGGGAUUACAGGCAUGAGCCACCACGCCUGGCUAAUGUUUUGUAUUUUUAGUAGAGACAGGGUUUCACCAUGUUGGCCAAGCUGGUCUCAAACUCCCGACCUCGGGCCGAGGCAAGUGGAUCACCUGAGGUCAGGAGUUUGAGACCAGCCUGGCCAACAUGGUGAAACCGUGUCCCUACUAAAAAUACAAAAAUUAGCCAAGCAUGGUGGUGCACGCCUCUAGUCCCAGCUACCUGGGAGGCUGAGGUGGGAGAAUCACUUGAACCUG
rnacentral:lncRNA from 10 species